rnacentral:rRNA from 1 species
AACGAACGCUGGCGGCAUGCCUAACACAUGCAAGUCGAACGAGAUCUUCGGGUCUAGUGGCGCACGGGUGCGUAACGCGUGGGAAUCUGCCCUUUGGUUCGGAAUAACAGUUGGAAACGACUGCUAAUACCGGAUGAUGACGAAAGUCCAAAGAUUUAUCGCCAGAGGAUGAGCCCGCGUAGGAUUAGCUAGUUGGUGUGGUAAAGGCGCACCAAGGCGACGAUCCUUAGCUGGUCUGAGAGGAUGAUCAGCCACACUGGGACUGAGACACGGCCCAGACUCCUACGGGAGGCACCAGUGGGGAAUAUUGGACAAUGGGCGAAAGCCUGAUCCAGCAAUGCCGCGUGAGUAAUGAAGGCCUUAGGGUUGUAAAGCUCUUUUACCCGGGAUGAUAAUGACAGUACCGGGAGAAUAAGCUCCGGCUAACUCCGUGCCAGCAGCCGCCGUAAAAC